rnacentral:tRNA from 1 species
CGGGGAGUAGCGCAGUCUGGUAGCGCAUCUGCUUUGGGAGCAGAGGGUCGCAGGUUCAAAUCCUGUCUCCCCGA